GUGGCUGUAGCUCAGUAGGUAGAGCGCCUGGUUGUGGUCCAGGAGGUCGCGGGUUCAAACCCCGUCAGCCACCCCA
rnacentral:tRNA from 1 species